CAACAGCUGAAGGCACCCUGGUCAUAAAGGUCUCAGUCAUGCGAGGUCCCGGUCAUAGAAGGUCCCAGGCGCCACCACGAGACGUCACAAAAAGUCUCUAAAGCUGUCGUCUAUUCAGAGGUCAGGACCCCUGAAGAUCUACAGACCCCAAUACUGAGCGAUCACACAUCACUGUGUAUAGAGUAAGAGCGUGUUAUCCUACACCAGUGUUUCCAAAAUAGGGUGCCUCCAGCUGUUGCAAAACGACAACUCCCUGCAGGGCCGAAACGCCUCACCUUUGCUCAUGUUUAUCGUGUACCUGUAUUUUUAUAUGCAAUAAAGUAUCCUGUUCCUGACCUACCUGCGCUGGACAACCUCUUCUUGUUUGCACUAUAUUAUGAACUACACUAACUUUACAGCCCCUGUAGCAUAGUCAAAUAAUUCCUGGAAUACCCCUUUAAUUUGUGA